rnacentral:rRNA from 1 species
UCCCCUAGUAACUGCGAGUGAAGCGGGAAAAGCUCAAAUUUAAAAUCUGGCAGUCUUUGGCUGUCCGAGUUGUAAUCUAGAGAAGUAUUAUCCGCGCUGGACCGUGUACAAGUCUCCUGGAAUGGAGCGUCAUAGAGGGUGAGAAUCCCGUCUUUGACACGGACUGCCAGGGCUUUGUGAUGUGCUCUCAAAGAGUCGAGUUGUUUGGGAAUGCAGCUCAAAAUGGGUGGUAAAUUCCAUCUAAAGCUAAAUAUUGGCGAGAGACCGAUAGCGAACAAGUACCGUGAGGGAAAGAUGAAAAGAACUUUGGAAAGAGAGUUAAACAGUACGUGAAAUUGCUGAAAGGGAAACGCUUGAAGUCAGUCACGUUGGCCAGGGAUCAACCUUGCUUUUCUGCUGGGCUUACUUUCUGGUCAAUGGGUCAGCAUCAAUUUUGACUGGUGGAAAAAGUUCAAGGGAAUGUGGCAUCUUCGGAUGUGUUAUAGCCUUUGUUCACAUACAUUGGUUGGGAUUGAGGAACUCAGCAUGCCGCAAGGCCGGGUUUUUAACCACGUACAUGCUUAGGAUGCUGGCAUAAUGGCUUUAAUCGACCCGUCUUGAAACACGGACCAAGGAGUCUAACAUGCCUGCAAGUGUUUGGGUGAAAAACCCGAGUGCGUAAUGAAAGUGAAAAGUUGAGAUCCCUGUCGUGGGGAGCAUUGACGCCCGGAUCUGA